rnacentral:rRNA from 1 species
GAAUGGAAGGGCCAUCGCUCAACGGAUAAAAGGUACUCCGGGGAUAACAGGCUGAUACCGCCCAAGAGUUCAUAUCGACGGCGGUGUUUGGCACCUCGAUGUCGGCUCAUCACAUCCUGGGGCUGAAGUAGGUCCCAAGGGUAUGGCUGUUCGCCAUUUAAAGUGGUACGCGAGCUGGGUUUAGAACGUCGUGAGACAGUUCGGUCCCUAUCUGCCGUGGGCGCUGGAGAAUUGAGGGGGGCUGCUCCUAGUACGAGAGGACCGGAGUGGACGCAUCACUGGUGUUCGGGUUGUCAUGCCAAUGGCACUGCCCGGUAGCUAAAUGCGGAAGAGAUAAGUGCUGAAAGCAUCUAAGCACGAAACUUGCCCCGAGAU